rnacentral:rRNA from 1 species
GUCCUAGCUGUAAACGAUGGGUACUAGGCAGCGGGGGCCCGAUGCUCUCGCUGUCGAAGCGAAUGUGCUAAGUACCCCGCCUGGGGAGUACGGCCGCAAGGCUGAAACUCAAAGGAAUUGACGGGGGCUCACACAAGCGGUGGAGCAUGUGGUUCAAUUCGAAGCAACGCGCAGAACCUUACCAGGGUUUGAAAUGCACGGAUUAGUCUCCCGAAAAGGAGAUGACACCUUUUGGUGGAACGUGCACAGGUGUUGCAUGGCUGUCGU